AACUGUGAGCACUGUCAGUGGCCGUAUUGGUCCGGGGGUGAGGACGGACCCCAAAGGCCACAGAUCUCGUUCUUCAGAAUCCUUAAAAAGAGUGCACGUUAAGAAAAGCAAAGGCAAAAAUGGAACAGAACAGUGCAACAUCCUGCAGCAGCCCGGACUAUUACACUUUUAUUACCCACCCACCCUACAGCCAGAACUAUGUGAAAAAGCCCAGAAUGGUCUCCUAAACAUCAAACUGCAUCCCAAAAACAGAGGUUUGGCACCUUUGAUACUGAAGGAUGGCUUUCGGUCCUGAUGGAAAUGACUAAUAGUGAAGACAUUCUAUUAACUUGGAUUCUCUCCUGAGCUAUUGAUAACGUGGGGCCAUGAACAUGCCAGCAUAUGGAAACUAGCAUUAUAUCAAGAAUUGUGGAUUCUUUGCGCUAGGGAUGGUUGCCAAGAGGAUUAUAGUAAAACAUUGGAAGGACAAAUUACUCCUGAACUGCAACUUUGGAUAACUGACGUGUUCCUUGUCAGCAUUUGAACUGGUCUUUUCCCCCGAUGACAAGGUAAAGAAGAGGAAUUUUCAGCUAUUUGGUCAAAUUUUAAUGAAUUGUUUAUGCUUUGAAACGUAAAUAUCCCUGGUAGAAGGUGUUUUCUUCUUCUUCUCCUGUGUUGGUUCUAUCUUAUUACGUUUAAGAUAUGUUUAAGUGAUUUUCAUUUCCUUCCUCCGCUCCUUUCUUUUUCAGUUAUAUUCACAUAUAUUAUUACAGUCCUUGAUCAUGUUUUUGCACUGCUGUAA